UGAAUAAAUGUUGCAGGAUCAGUAGAUAUAUUGAGAUAUCCCAUAAUGGAAUCUAUGACCCCAUGUUCUUUAAGUAUGCCGUUUGGAUCAUUUGUAACAAGCCAACCAAGUCGCCAGCCUGGGACAAUCCACCUCUUUGAUAUGGAUCCGAGUGUAACAACAGGAGCAAUCGAUCCAAAGAUUCCCAUGGGCACAAAUGGUUUACUUCCAAAAGCCAGAUGAGCAUAAACUUCAUCAGAAAUAACUAAAAUUCCAAGCUUCCUUGCCGUUUCUGCCACCUUCUUCAAGUGUUCUUCUGAAUAGACAUUGCCACAAGGAUUCCCAGGAUUAAUAAUGACCAUAGCCACAGUAUUUUCAUCGGCCAAAGACUCAACCGCAUUAAGGUCCACCUCCCACUCCUUCUCUGGGAGAAGAUUAAAGUGGCGCAUUUCCAUUUGAGUAAAUCCACCCCAAGCUUCAUAAUAAGGGAAUCCAGGACUUGGAAGUAGAAUAUUUGCG
rnacentral:misc_RNA from 1 species